GUAGUGAUCUGUUGCUUGUUUUCAUUCAUCUCCUCUCAUGAACCUUUCUAUUGAAUUUGCUCGGAUAUCUCUCAUGGAUGUUAAACACAGUGUCAACAUUUGGAGCUGUUCUUGGCAUGGUCACAGAUAGGAGAAUCAAAUGGUCUUCAGGUUUCUUCUGUUUUUCUUGAUUUUUGCGCUGCUGAUAUUGACCAUCUCUCUAGAGAAACUGGAGAGGUAGCGAUGGGGGAUAAAGUGACCUGCAAGGUGGCGACUUCUUUGAACUCUGAUAACUGCUUCCUUCAGCAAUGUGGUACUUCCAUGUUCCUUUGACAUGUAAAAACAUAGUACGCAUGAGCAACAAGUACUGUCUGCUUAAGUUGCGGAAUUUUUACGGUUGAUGCAAUAGGAGUGACAUAACAAAGAACUUGUACCAGAGGUUGUUGGAGGAUUCUCUCUUCCAUGGUCAUGUGUUCCGAUUUUGUAGGACUGAAAUUAUGCAAAACUUUAAUGACUCAUGAAAGGCAGAGCUUGUUUUUUCCCAUCGCUUGUGGAUUGAAGAGGAAGAGAUGGUACAAGACUAGUCUUGGAUCCGUCUAGUAGUGGGAGAACCAAGGACCGUCUAGUAGUGGCAAAGGGCUGGUGCUUUUAGCUGUCUUGACUUCUGCCUUUAAUUCCUCUUCCGGGAGAACGAGCUCUCUGGUUGGCUCCAGAUAUUAAAAUGUUACUGAACACUCUUUUUCUGAAACUUAAUCGGUCUUAUUGGAUGCGUUUCAUUCUCUCUCUUGAAUGAAUUACGGUCCCUAGGAAAUUUACAAGCAAAGUUGAGGGGAAGAGGAGUUAUAUAUGAACAUAAGACAUAUGUCAGUCUGAUCUAGCAUUGAGAACCAAGGACCAAGGAAAAGGGCUGCUGCUUUAGCUAUCUUAACUUAUGCCUGUAAUUUUUCUUACGGGAUCAAGUUCUUAGCAAGUUGGUGUUGCUGCAUCAACAUUACUCAAACUUGGGGUUUCAACAUGUUCAAGUGCUUCGACCUGGAUGGAGAUGGGGGUGAUGAUCACUCCCAGUGAAAUGCAAAUUUUCGACAAAAGAGCAGCUGCAUCACAUGAAGGAGAACUGCAUCACACUCCAAGAUCUUAAAGCAUCUAAACUUUCUGGAAAUGUUUUCAAUAUACUCUUCAACCUGAUAAUACUCAUGGCGUUUAAAACUCGUGUCCCUUUUAUCAUUCGCUAGUUUCUUUAGGUCCAGUUAAGGGAUUAAACUUUCUAGUGAUGGAUAUGGUAAACAUGCUAAAUACUGACACCAGAAUGUUCUCCAUGAUCAGGUUCAAAUGCACACACCUAGAUGGAGAUGGGGCCAAACACUCCAAUGAAAUGCAGUCUUUUUCUACGGUUUAACCCAGGAACCUGUACUCUUUAAAGAUAUCCUAUGUCAAAUAUUCGACAUGAUGAAA